AUUGAACGCUGGCGGCAGGCCUAACAACUGCAAGUCGAACGAGUGGCGGACGGGUGAGUAAUGUCUGGGAAACUGCUCGAUGGAGGGGGAUUACUACUGGAAACGGUAGCUAAUACCGCAUACCAUCGGAUGUGCCCAGAUGGGAUUAGCUAGUAGGUGGGGUAACGGCUCAACUAGGCGACGAUCCCUAGCUGGUCCGAGAGGAUGACCGGCGACACUGGAACGGAGACACGGACGAUACGCCAACGGUAGGCAGCAGUGGGGAAUAUUGCACAAUGGGCGCAAGCCUGAUGGAGCCAUGCCGCGUGGAUGAAGAAGGCCUUAGGGUUGUAAAGUACUUUCAGCGAGGAGGCGUUACUCGCAGAGGAAGCACCGGCUAACUCCGUGCCAGCAGCCGCGGUAAUUC
rnacentral:rRNA from 1 species